GAGGGGGGCUGAAAAAGUAACUAUUCAACCUUUGGAUAUGGGAAGGCUAGAGAAGUAGUUGAGGUACAUUUAGUGGUUCGACUGGUCGGGAGCCUUGGGGGUGAAUGAUGGAAAUAAAGGGUUUGAUUUUGGAGCAUUACUACUGGUUCAGAGGAUGGUGAGUUUCUUUGAGAGUUUCGGAGGGAUCUGUAGAGUACGGAGGGU
rnacentral:lncRNA from 1 species